UCAGACGGCCGGGCGGUCGCGGCGCUUUCGGGCGUCGAGGAAAGUCCGGGCUCCACGACGACAUGGCGGUGGGUAACGCCCACCGGGGGUGACCCCAGGGAUAGCGCCACAGAGAGCAGACCUCCUUCGCCUCGGCGGAGGGAAGGGUGAAAGGGUGGGGUAAGAGCCCACCGGGCCGCUGGUGACAGGGGCCGCAUGGCAAGCCCCGCCAGGAGCAAGACCGAAUAGGGAUCCCGCGUCCUCUCCCAUUCUUCGGAGCGGGAAGGGCAGGGCCGUCGCCGGCCCAGGGAUCCGGGUAGGUCGCGAGAACCGGCCGGCAACGGCCGGUCCAGAGGAAUGACCGUCACGCGCCUCCUUCGCGAGGAGAGGGUGCGGACAGAACCCGGCUUACAGGCCGUCUGAUCUC
rnacentral:RNase_P_RNA from 1 species